rnacentral:rRNA from 1 species
GAUGAACGCUGGCGGCGUGCCUAAUACAUGCAAGUCGAGCGAACGGACGAGAAGCUUGCUUCUCUGAUGUUAGCGGCGGACGGGUGAGUAACACGUGGAUAACCUACCUAUAAGACUGGGAUAACUUCGGGAAACCGGAGCUAAUACCGGAUAAUAUUUUGAACCGCAUGGUUCAAAAGUGAAAGACGGUCUUGCUGUCACUUAUAGAUGGAUCCGCGCUGCAUUAGCUAGUUGGUAAGGUAACGGCUUACCAAGGCAACGAUGCAUAGCCGACCUGAGAGGGUGAUCGGCCACACUGGAACUGAGACACGGUCCAGACUCCUACGGGAGGCAGCAGUAGGGAAUCUUCCGCAAUGGGCGAAAGCCUGACGGAGCAACGCCGCGUGAGUGAUGAAGGUCUUCGGAUCGUAAAACUCUGUUAUUAGGGAAGAACAUAUGUGUAAGUAACUGUGCACAUCUUGACGGUACCUAAUCAGAAAGCCACGGCUAACUACGUGCCAGCAGCCGCGGUAAUACGUAGGUGGCAAGCGUUAUCCGGAAUUAUUGGGCGUAAAGCGCGCGUAGGCGGUUUUUUAAGUCUGAUGUGAAAGCCCACGGCUCAACCGUGGAGGGUCAUUGGAAACUGGAAAACUUGAGUGCAGAAGAGGAAAGUGGAAUUCCAUGUGUAGCGGUGAAAUGCGCAGAGAUAUGGAGGAACACCAGUGGCGAAGGCGAUUUUCUGGUCUGUAACUGACGCUGAUGUGCGAAAGCGUGGGGAUCAAACAGGAUUAGAUACCCUGGUAGUCCACGCCGUAAACGAUGAGUGCUAAGUGUUAGGGGGUUUCCGCCCCUUAGUGCUGCAGCUAACGCAUUAAGCACUCCGCCUGGGGAGUACGACCGCAAGGUUGAAACUCAAAGGAAUUGACGGGGACCCGCACAAGCGGUGGAGCAUGUGGUUUAAUUCGAAGCAACGCGAAGAACCUUACCAAAUCUUGACAUCCUUUGACAACUCUAGAGAUAGAGCCUUCCCCUUCGGGGGACAAAGUGACAGGUGGUGCAUGGUUGUCGUCAGCUCGUGUCGUGAGAUGUUGGGUUAAGUCCCGCAACGAGCGCAACCCUUAAGCUUAGUUGCCAUCAUUAAGUUGGGCACUCUAAGUUGACUGCCGGUGACAAACCGGAGGAAGGUGGGGAUGACGUCAAAUCAUCAUGCCCCUUAUGAUUUGGGCUACACACGUGCUACAAUGGACAAUACAAAGGGCAGCGAAACCGCGAGGUCAAGCAAAUCCCAUAAAGUUGUUCUCAGUUCGGAUUGUAGUCUGCAACUCGACUACAUGAAGCUGGAAUCGCUAGUAAUCGUAGAUCAGCAUGCUACGGUGAAUACGUUCCCGGGUCU